GACGAACGCUGGCGGCGUGCUUAACACAUGCAAGUCGAACGGAAAGGCCCUGCUUUUGUGGGGUGCUCGAGUGGCGAACGGGUGAGUAACACGUGAGUAACCUGCCCUUGACUUUGGGAUAACUUCAGGAAACUGGGGCUAAUACCGGAUAGGAGCUCCUGCUGCAUGGUGGGGGUUGGAAAGUUUCGGCGGUUGGGGAUGGACUCGCGGCUUAUCAGCUUGUUGGUGGGGUAGUGGCUUACCAAGGCUUUGACGGGUAGCCGGCCUGAGAGGGUGACCGGCCACAUUGGGACUGAGAUACGGCCCAGACUCCUACGGGAGGCAGCAGUGGGGAAUAUUGCACAAUGGGCGGAAGCCUGAUGCAGCAACGCAGCGUGCGGGAUGACGGCCUUCGGGUUGUAAACCGCUUUCGCCUGUGACGAAGCGUGAGUGACGGUAAUGGGUAAAGAAGCACCGGCUAACUACG
rnacentral:rRNA from 1 species